AUUGAACGCUGGCGGCAUGCUUUACACAUGCAAGUCGAACGGCAGCGCGGGCUUCGGCCUGGCGGCGAGUGGCGAACGGGUGAGUAAUGCAUCGGAACGUGCCCAGUAGUGGGGGAUAGCCUGGCGAAAGCCGGAUUAAUACCGCAUACGACCUGAGGGUGAAAGCGGGGGACCGAAAGGCCUCGCGCUAUUGGAGCGGCCGAUGUCGGAUUAGCUAGUUGGUGUGGUAAAGGCUUACCAAGGCGACGAUCCGUAGCUGGUCUGAGAGGACGACCAGCCACACUGGAACUGAGACACGGCCCAGACUCCUACGGGAGGCAGCAGUGGGGAAUUUUGGACAAUGGGGGCAACCCUGAUCCAGCCAUGCCGCGUGCGGGAAGAAGGCCUUCGGGUUGUAAACCGCUUUUGUUCGGGAAGAAAACCUCUGGGCUAAUACCCCGGGGGGAUGACGGUACCGGAAGAAUAAGCACCGGCUAACUACGUG
rnacentral:rRNA from 1 species